GUGGAUUUACUUUUUUUUGAAAUUAAAUAAAGAUUAGUUUUGUUAAUUGCCUUUGCUUGAGAGUCUCUAGAUUUAACGGCUUAGAUCGCAAGGUCUCAUUUAUGAUACAUCUAACAGAAACUCUUGUCAGAGCUGAUACGAUUGUAUCGAAAUUGACCCAAUGAACAAGUUUACCUUAGCAAUUAAGGUGUCUCAGAAUCGUGAAUAUUGUCCACAGGUAUUCGAAGCAGAAGGCACGAAGAUAAA
rnacentral:lncRNA from 1 species